UUUCCGGUUGAUCCUGCCGGAGGUUACUGCUAUCGAGGUUCGANUAAGCCAUGCGAGUCGAAUGUAGCAAUACAUGGCGAACUGCUCAGUAACACGUGGACAACCUGCCCUUAGGACGGGGAUAAACCCGGGAAACUGGGUAUAAUACCCGAUAGGUCUCGAUUGCUGGAAUGCAUCGAGAUUUAAAGCUCCGGCGCCUAAGGAUGGGUCUGCGGCCUAUCAGGUAGUAGUGGGUGUAGCGUACCUACUAGCCUACGACGGGUACGGGUUGUGAGAGCAAGAGCCCGGAGAUGGAUUCUGAGACACGAAUCCAGGCCCUACGGGGUGCAGCAGGCGCGAAAACUUUACAAUGCUGGCAACAGCGAUAAGGGAACCUCGAGUGCCAGGUUACAAAUCUGGCUGUCGAGAUGCCUAAAAAGCAUUUCGUAGCAAGGGCCGGGCAAGACCGGUGCCAGCCGCCGCGGUAACACCGGCGGCUCGAGUGGUAACCGUUAUUAUUGGGUCUAAAGGGUCUGUAGCCGGCCGGAUAAGUNUCUUGAGAAAUCUGGCAGCUUAACUGUCAGGCUUUCAGGAGAUACUGUCUGGCUCGAGGCCGGGAGAGGUGAGAGGUACUUCAGGGGUAGGGGUGAAAUCUUGUAAUCCUUGAAGGACCACCAGUGGCGAAGGCGUCUCACCAGAACGGACCUGACGGCAAGGGACGAAAGCUAGGGGCACGAACCGGAUUAGAUACCCGGGUAGUCCUAGCCGUAAACGAUACUCGCUAGGUGUCGGCCACGGUGCGACCGUUGUCGGUGCCGUAGGGAAGCCGUGAAGCGAGCCACCUGGGAAGUACGGCCGCAAGGCUGAAACUUAAAGGAAUUGGCGGGGGAGCACCACAACGGGUGGAGCUUGCGGUUUAAUUGGAGUCAACGCCGG
rnacentral:rRNA from 1 species